GGCUGUUUAUCUGGGCCUCCAAGUACCCUGCUUGCGCCUGGAGGUCUCUCACCCCCAGGUCCUGCUCAAAGCUGUGCACUUGGGCCCCCAGGCAUGCGGCUUGCUCCGGAAGGUCCCUUACCUGUGGCACUGAGCAUGUACUUCCUGCAGUGCAGUUAGAAAUGCCCAUCCGACUCUGCUUGCAAAGGCACAGCUGCUUAAAGACUGUUACCGGAAAGGAAUCCUGAUCCAGACGCCAAGAGAGGGUUCUUGGACUCAUGCAAGAAAGACUUCAGGACAGAGAUCAUGGAAGUUGGGCCCGACUGGAUGAGAUUUGGGGGUCUUUGGAAGUGGAGAAUGUGUUUGCCCUGGGGAAGAGAGGUGAUGUCUAGGAGACCUCUUCACUCAGGGCAAGCUCUAUGACCUGCUUUGACUCCAGAAUGUGGUAGAAGUGGCAUCACAUAAAUUGCAGAGCCUAGGCUUCAAGAGACCUUGCAACUUGCCUCUCACUGACUUGAAGUGCUCCCAUCAGAGCAUCUUGUAAGGAGCAGGUGGAGCAUGUGGACAAGCCAUCCCCACCAGCCCCUGAGACAUGUGAGAGAGGCCAGAACAGGCCAUCCGGACCCCACUGUGCUGGUGGAUGAGACAGCAGAAGGAAUAUCAACCUACCAACAGAAUCCUGAGAAAUGCUCACUCUUACUUCAAGCUGCUGCAUUUUGAUGUUAUGAAACCAUAAAUAACUUAUGAAGUCAUCUUUGCUGACUUAAAGUUUUCCAUAACUUUAUUAUAACAUAUCAAAAUUAUGAAAAAUGUGAAAAGUAGAAAACUGAUGAAUUUUGCUUCUUCAUAUGGUCUUUAAGAAUCUCAAAGGCACUGAAGUUUUUUAUCUUUUCUGUCUUAGAAUAAAAAACCUUGAAUGAAAAUCUGCUUCUUGGAAAAGCAGCAAGGUUUAUGCAGAGGCAAUCUGGUAUUUGUGUGCACUGGCAGCUGAUCAUACCCAGCAUGCACGCACUCUCAGGGCAGAGUCUGAUGCCCCACAUAAUGGGGCAUGGUAAGGACUCCCAUGUCCUUGAGAUAAAAUGAUAAGGAAAAUACACACUGCUAUUAGAAUAACAGGCCCAGCUUCUGCACAUUUUAAUUCCCAAAGUUUUCAUGAAAGACAAUGAUUUUUUGGUACCAUGUUUAACUCUACAAGAAUCAGUAGUGAAAACUAAAAAUGAUACUUUGUGAAAGUUCAUUAAUUUUGUUUUCAGCCAGUGGUGGCCUUGGUCAGAUAGAAUCAAAUCUAUGAUACUUUUUAUCAGAAAUGCUUAUACUGUGUACAAACCCAAAGUGAUGGCUUUCAAAGAUUGAAUUUGAUUAUUUUCUGUAUGGUGCAGAUGAAAAAUUACUACACAGGAGAAGGUGGGUUGGAGGUGCUCACGAGUAACCAGGAAACAGUCUGAAGUUUUUCUGAUACUUCUCCUUGGUCCAACCAAAUGUGAGAUAUAAACACAAACUUG
rnacentral:lncRNA from 1 species